rnacentral:lncRNA from 1 species
GUGCCAAAAUGUUCCUCUAGCUUGGUGGGCUUGCAAAGUGACACAUCCAAUUGAGAUGCUUGGCAAGCUGCGUGUGGAAAGUUUUCACAUCUUGUCAUCCUUGUUUUAAGGAGUCUUCCCUGUCAGCACAGAAAAGGUAUGUGGAGACCAAAGCCAAGGGGCUGUUUUCCUGAGGGAAUUCACACUGAUUCGAAGAGAGAGCCUUCAUGAAGAUUUCCUGUCUGACUUCUUGAAUGGUCACAAAACUGAAGACCCGACUCUAUAUUGUGAUAACUGGACCAUGGGCUUCUGAGACUCUACUGUGCCUCUGGAUGUUGAGGUCAUACUAAGUCUGAAGGUGAAC